CCUAAUUGUGAUGAUUUUAUACUGCCCCAGACUGAAUAUCAUGUUGAAAGUUUAAUCUGAAUAUU